rnacentral:rRNA from 1 species
CUACGGGGGGCAGCAGUAGGGAAUUUUCGGCAAUGGGGGAAACCCUGACCGAGCAACGCCGCGUGAAUGACGAAGUACUUCGGUAUGUAAAGUUCUUUUAUUAGGGAAGAAUGGCAGGUGGAAAAACCUGAUUGACGGUACCUAAUGAAUAAGCCCCGGCUAACUAUGUGCCAGCAGCCGCGGUAAUACAUAGGGGGCAAGCGUUAUCCGGAAUUAUUGGGCGUAAAGGGUGCGUAGGUGGUUAUUUAAGUCUUUGGUGUAAGUGCAGUGCUUAACGCUGUGAUGCUAAAGAAACUGGGUAACUUGAGUGUGGUAGAGGCAAGUGGAAUUCCAUGUGUAGCGGUAAAAUGCGUAAAUAUAUGGAGGAACACCAGUGGCGAAGGCGGCUUGCUGGGCCACAACUGACACUGAGGCACGAAAGCGUGGGGAGCAAACAGGAUUAGAUACCCCGGUAGUC